AGUGAACGCUGGCGGUAGGCCUAACACAUGCAAGUCGAACGGCAGCACAGUAAGAGCUUGCUCUUACGGGUGGCGAGUGGCGGACGGGUGAGGAAUACAUCGGAAUCUACUUUUUCGUGGGGGAUAACGUAGGGAGACUUACGCUAAUACCGCAUACGACCUACGGGUGAAAGCAGGGGAUCUUCGGACCUUGCGCGAUUGAAUGAGCCGAUGUCGGAUUAGCUAGUUGGCGGGGUAAAGGCCCACCAAGGCGACGAUCCGUAGCUGGUCUGAGAGGAUGAUAAGCCACACUGGAACUGAGACACGGUCCAGACUCCUACGGGAGGCAGCAGUGGGGAAUAUUGGACAAUGGGCGCAAGCCUGAUCCAGCCAUACCGCGUGGGUGAAGAAGGCCUUCGGGUUGUAAAGCCCUUUUGUUGGGAAAGAAAAGCAGCAGGUUAAUACCCCGCUGUUCUGACGGUACCCAAAGAAUAAGCACCGGCUAACUUCGUG
rnacentral:rRNA from 1 species